rnacentral:rRNA from 1 species
GUACACUCCUGCGGGAGGCAGCAGUGGGGAAUUUUGGACAAUGGGCGAAAGCCUGAUCCAGCAAUGCCGCGUGUGUGAAGAAGGCCUUCGGGUUGUAAAGCACUUUUGUCCGGAAAGAAAUCCUUGGCUCUAAUACAGUCGAGGGAUGACGGUACCGGAAGAAUAAGCACCGGCUAACUACGUGCCAGCAGCCGCGGUAAUACGUAGGGUGCGAGCGUUAAUCGGAAUUACUGGGCGUAAAGCGUGCGCAGGCGGUUUGCUAAGACCGAUGUGAAAUCCCCGGGCUCAACCUGGGAGCUGCAUUGGUGACUGGCAGGCUAGAGUAUGGCAGAGGGGGGUAGAAUUCCACGUGUAGCAGUGAAAUGCGUAGAGAUGUGGGGGAAUACCGAUGGCGAAGGCAGCCCCCUGGGCCAAUACUGACGCUCAUGCACGAAAGCGUGGGGAGCAAACAGGAUUAGAAACCCUUGUAGUCCCAUGA